AUACAGGCCUCACUUAGAGGCCUUGCUGUGACCUGGGGAGGUUAGGCAUCCAAAUGGGUAGCAGCGGCACCCUUCUGGAGAGACGGUCACCGGAGACCGGGCUUGUCAGACCCGGUCGGGAGCCGUUUU
rnacentral:sRNA from 12 species